AUACCUGGCAGGGGAGAUACCAUGAUCACGAGGGUGGUUUUCCCAGGGCGAGGCUUAUCUAUUGCACUCCGGAUGUGCUGACCCCUGCAAUUUCCCCAAAUGUGGGAAACUCAACUGCAUCAUUUGUGGUAGUGGGAGACUGUGUUCAUGCUUUUCCCUG
ensembl:snRNA U1 U1 spliceosomal RNA